rnacentral:rRNA from 1 species
UGGGGAAUUUUGGACAAUGGGCGAAAGCCUGAUCCAGCAAUGCCGCGUGUGUGAAGAAGGCCUUCGGGUUGUAAAGCACUUUUGUCCGGAAAGAAAUGGCUCUGGUUAAUACCUGGGGUCGAUGACGGUACCGGAAGAAUAAGGACCGGCUAACUACGUGCCAGCAGCCGCGGUAAUACGUAGGGUCCAAGCGUUAAUCGGAAUUACUGGGCGUAAAGCGUGCGCAGGCGGUUGUGCAAGACCGAUGUGAAAUCCCCGAGCUUAACUUGGGAAUUGCAUUGGUGACUGCACGGCUAGAGUGUGUCAGAGGGGGGUAGAAUUCCACGUGUAGCAGUGAAAAUGCGUAGAGAUGUGGAGGAAUACCGAUGGCGAAGGCAGCCCCCUGGGAUAACACUGACGCUCAUGCACGAAAGCGUGGGGAGCAAACAGGAUUAGAUACCCUGGUAGUCCACGCCCUAAAACGAUGUCAACUAGUUGUUGGGGAUUCAUUUCCUUAGUAACGUAGCUAACGCGUGAAGUUGACCGCCUGGGGAGUACGGUCGCAAAGAUUAAAACUCAAAAUGAAUUGACGGGGUCAUAGCUGUUUCC